UCACAAAUGCCUACAUACAUUUGUGGAGGAAAAUGUUGAAUCCUUACACUGUAGGAGCUAAAGUGAGUUUAAAAAAAAAAAGGAGUAUUUGCUGGAUCUUCUGAAAUACAUUUUUCCUAUUUGAUUUGGUAAAACGCCACAGUGCACAUUCCCCGGCUCUCUGCUUUGAGGCCACCGUGGAGCUUGUUUUAGAGAGCCUGCAACCUGACUCUAAUGUGCUGUGAAUGAGAGACCUGAGCUCGGAUUAAGACCGCCGUGGCUGGUCUGGCCCCACAGCCCGAUGUUCAUAUAUCCAUUGGGCUCCUGAUGGCACAUGUGAAACAUAACCUUGAAAUAUCAUACACACUAAUACUACGCAAUCACCAGCUAACGCUCCGUGAGUGUAUCAAAACAGGAAAACCCAUGAAGUCUGUGAUAUGAGCCGUCCCGCUUACAGGCCAUUUUAUUUGGAUAAAUUGCAGACACACAAACAACUCGAGUGUCUUUGCGACCACACGCUCCGCCUCUCAGUCAAUCCAGACAAAUUCUAUGAGUUGUGCCGAAGCUUUUAAGCUGUAAUUGAGGACAGGAUGCCCAGGAAAACCAAAGCCAGCUCUGCACAGACCUGCGUUUUUAUUGCUGCUAUAGUAUUCUACUGCGCCUUUUCCCCUAGCCAGACAGACACCACAAAACUGGCCAAGCGUGAUAGGAAGUCGCCACCUACACGGACUCAAAGUCAGCAGCUGGGGGAUAUAGAAACAUAUUAUAUAUCUACAUGCAUCUAAGGUGACAGAAAUGUGGGCCGACGGCGAUGGCGACGACAGAGGGGCCUGGCGGACCACACAGGGGCCAUGCGGGGGAACUGAUCAAAUCCACGGUCAACGGGAGCACCUCUGGCAAAUCAGGAGAGAAGCACACCGCCGGAUUAGAACAUUUAAAUAGAUUUAGUGAAUGAACAUUAACAGAGAAUAACAGAAAGAAGGACAGAAAUCACAGAAAUUAAAAUGUCCAGCGUUCUCCGUCUGUUUUGCACGGAGGUAUCACGGAAAAAAAACAAAAAACAAAACACAUACAUCCAAUAGUCAUUUGCGUUAAAUGUCUGUAAUUGUGUUUCAUUCUGAUAUUAUCGCAGUGCGAUAAAGACUGACUAUACAUUAGAAGCGCACAAUUCUCACUUGAAUAGUCUACGACUCCAAAUUUAAAAACGGAUCUAAAAAUGCGUAUUUACUUUGUUGUGUUUUAGUUGUGAGCAACAAAGCAGAAUAUGCCAUUCAACAACAGACGCUCACAUUCGAAAAUAUUUCAGUGAAACGAAGCCAAACAUCUGCAAUUCGUUUAAAUAGGAAAUGUCGAAACAUAUCCUAUAUAUUUUUCCUUUCAUGUGAAAACGCGUUUUUUUUCCCCCCGAGAAUCUUUCUUAAAUGCCAGAAAACGGCAUACAGUCUGCGCCCGCUAUAACACAUUUAGGUCACAUAUAUUGCCGCCCAUCAUCUCUAAUCCGGUUUAUUAUUAUUAUAUUAGGACCAAAUCUAACGAAAUUCUGAACAUAAAUAUAUUUUCUCGCACUUACCCUUUACAGAGACACGCGCACACACAAAAAAAAACAUCGUAAACACAUUUUUGAUAACAAUACUAUUCAACACAGUUGUCUGGCACUUGUAUCCCCAAUUGCCAGACAACUGAAUAUCCUACAGCACAUGGCGCUCACAAGGUAUGUGUAUACACAGCGUAAUAGAUACAUUUUACUCGAUGGUUAUGUCGCAAAAUCGUUAUAUCAUAACGACUUCUUCUGCCUCAAAAAAUCGUAGACUGCCAAGACCUAAUACUAAGAGCAGAUGUGGCAUUAGUUUGCAUUUUCUUAUUAUAAAUCAUUCGUUCUGUCAUGUUACACCAUCGUCUAGACUGUUUACUGAUACGAAACUGCGUUUUUUUCCCAACAUCAAACAUUCGAUGGAUGAAAUGAUAUUUUCAUUUCCAAAUGCGAUCUAUUUUACAAAAACACAAUUUCCCCUUUGAAUCUUCUCUAUGUUAUAUCGUUUUACUUAGUUUAAAUCAAAUACUUUGCGUGGAGACGAUUUUAUGUGAGCUCUUACGCAAAUAAGCCUAACCCUUGACAAACGCGUGCUCGCUUUCCUUGAAAAACAGUCCAUGUAUCCUUCAUGGAUGAAUACAGUAAAUUAUUUGGCAUUUAAAUUUCAAACCAAAUGACAUGGCCCCAUAGCAGGACAGGGGAAACCCUGUGUGUAGACGAAUAAGGCGCCGACUAGGACAUUGAGGAGGCUUUCGCAUAAUCUCGGUCAAGUGCUUCUCUUUGACCGCUGUCACGGUCUCAGAUGAGCUUAUGUCUGCUGAGAUCUGUGGGGUGUAUUACGGGAUAAUCUUCCGAACGCACGCUUUCAAGCUUGACCAGAGCUUUGUUGACUGAAUGAAUUGUUGCUCGCCUCGCCUCCAUUACGCACAGAGACGGCGAAGGUCAAUGUAAAGAGCAAUGUCCAGUGUUGGCCCUGUCUGCGCUUAGCCGCGUCUGUGGAAGGCGAAAGACAAACUGCUUACUAGAUCUGUGGGUAUCUUAACUGAAUGCAUUGAUCCGACUAGUCAGUGAUACCCAGGGAAAUCACCAUUAUGUGCGCAGGCAAAUUAUCAUUUAUUUCAUUCUGGUAUAUCAACCAGCCUGUCCGUGAUUUUUCUAUUGGUGUGACUUGAAGGGUUGUAAAGUCACUCAGAAAUGCAUCUAAAUACACAAUCUUUUCCUUUUUAAAUCACUCUCUUUACUCCCGCGAGAUUACUGUUAACGUGAAUGAGACUUUUUCUUUUAAUGAAAAUGGGUUAAAUGGGGCCAGAUUGAGAACUAAAAUUAACAGCAAUUCUCUCCUUUUCCUUAAGGUGGCAGCAGAGCUCCAUUCUUGAACACAAUGACGCAGUUGAGCCUCCGGGGUUUUAGUGCCAUGGUCCACGGGCCGUCCAAUCAAAGGCGGCUCGUUAGGAAAGAGGAGUAGGCGGAGGGUUGUGCUGUGAGCUUCGGACAGUCACGUUAUGUCUCAGUCAGUAGGCGGGACUUACAGACUUGUUUUGGUUCUCACUAAGCCAAUAAGACGCCGGUCUGCUCUCUCACAGCCAAUGGCCCGCCCGUCAGAGGAGCAAACUUCCGCUCUACAGCUUCCUCUUUUCCGCGUUUCCUUUAUUAUGAACUCGGAGAAGCACUCAGCAGUCACUCAUCUCACUUUUCUCCCGUCUCUGAUGUCAUUGUUUAAUAGCGCGCCCGCCGUGAACAUGUCAGAAAACGUGGGAGUAUAUCGAUGCUGCAUUCCGUGCUCACGAACAUACAGCCUCUCUUUUCUCUGCCGUUUGUGUUUUUUUUUGCCCAACUGGGCAUGCGCAUGUUAAUGACCACGCAAUAUCUCUCAAUUAAAAAAAAAAAUGCUCCACUUAAUUUACUGAUUGUUAAUAACCCGCAGCAAAAGUUUGUUUUUCACUGACUUUUUACACGACUGUGAAACAAGUAGGAUAUGAACACGCAUGCUAAUGUUAAAAUGUUUUAAACAGAUCCAUCAAACGAACACACAAGAACAGAUUACCAAUAAAUUAAAACGUUUGAACAGGAUAUGGACUAAUUCCAGAAGCUGAUUACCUUAUUAAAACUAACAGUUUUAGUAAUAUCUGACUUAGAAAUGACUAAAAUAAAAUUAUAAUUGUGCAGUAAUAGGUGGAUUAUUAUUAUACUUAAGUGUAAAACCACGCGUUUAGUUUAGCCUACAUUAAAAGCGGUAGGCUAUACUUAAAGCGUAAGAUGGUUGACUGUGUCCUGAUUAGGGAGAAAACCAGCGCCUUUAACAGAACAGACUACAACCGUUGUGUCGCCAGGUACAGCUGCUUUACAGGUGAGAAGCUAGACAAAAGACAGAUAGAGAAAAAGGCUGGAUUUGGUUUCAUGUUCUACAUUCAACAUUUAACUGCCUGCAAGCCUAAAUAGUCUGGUUUUUGGUUGCAGCUGCACAUAGUCACUCAGAAAGAAAAUGUUUUAGGACACAAUGUUGCACUGCAUUAAAAAAAUAAAAUAAGUAAAUUAAUUUAAAAAAAAAACGGAUCUUGUAGCGUGGCAGCAGACUUUUAACGACACAAUAUUAGGAAGAAAAUCAUAAAGUACAACUUAAAAUUAUACAUUUAUUUAUAUUAACGUUACAUUUACGUGCAAACCAUUGAUUUAAAUCCGACGAUUGAAUUGACGAUUGAGUGAAUUCAUUUCCGUGUCUUAUAAAAUAAACGAUGGUCGCGGGAUAUUAGACCGUUUAAAUGUUCUACUUCUUGAUGUUUCUAAUUUCUAAUUUUCACUACAGCCAUAACCGAUAAUGUACGUCUAAUUUCGAAUCUGAAUUUUAAUUUUAUAUAGAACUAAAAAAAAAAAGAAGAAGAAGAAAAAAAGCAAAAAGGCCUAACGAGCAUGAAUAUUUAAGUUAGUCCUGAAGUAACAUAUAAAAUACAUUCAUACCCGGCCGCCCGCGCCAUAUUGACCCAAUUUAUAUCUCCUUUCAAACAAUAUCUAUGUGCAUAUAUUGAUUAUAUUAUUUAUUUAUUUGUUUUACUCUAAAUCAUCACAAUUUCAUUUCGGCUCUCUUCAACAUUACAUUUCUUUGAAAUAUUUUAAUAUAGUCUACAUAAGCAAUUCUCUCAAGUAUGAAAAAAAGGUUACACAGAGCGAGUAACGGGAUAUAAGUAACAGGAUAUUUUGUGUUUGUACUUUUUUUCCAUAUUAUCUGUCUGUUAAAAAAAAAUAAAAUAAGAAUUUUUUCUACUUGUUA